CUGGUUAGCAUGAUGAAUAAAACAAAAAAUCACCAUCUUUCGGCUGACAGUUGUGAUGAUUUGUUUUUGCCUGAGUGGAUGCCAG
ensembl:snoRNA